rnacentral:rRNA from 1 species
UACAGAGGUCUCAAGCGUUGUUCGGAUUCAUUGGGCGUAAAGUGUGCGCAGGCGGCAGAGCAAGUCGAGUGUGAAAGCCCCGGGCUUAACUUGGGAAUUGCGCUCGAAACUACUUUGCUGGAGUGUGGCAGAGGAAGGUGGAAUUCCACGUGUAGCGGUGAAAUGCGUAGAGAUGUGGAGGAACACCAAUGGCGAAGGCAGCCUUCUGGGCCAACACUGACGCUCAUGCACGAAAGCGUGGGGAGCAAACAGG